rnacentral:rRNA from 1 species
GACGAACGCUGGCGGCGUGCUUAACACAUGCAAGUCGAACGGAAAGGCCCUGCUUUUGUGGGGUGCUCGAGUGGCGAACGGGUGAGUAACACGUGAGUAACCUGCCCUUGACUUUGGGAUAACUUCAGGAAACUGGGGCUAAUACCGGAUAGGAGCUCCUGCUGCAUGGUGGGGGUUGGAAAGUUUCGGCGGUUGGGGAUGGACUCGCGGCUUAUCAGCUUGUUGGUGGGGUAGUGGCUUACCAAGGCUUUGACGGGUAGCCGGCCUGAGAGGGUGACCGGCCACAUUGGGACUGAGAUACGGCCCAGACUCCUACGGGAGGCAGCAGUGGGGAAUAUUGCACAAUGGGCGGAAGCCUGAUGCAGCAACGCCGCGUGCGGGAUGACGGCCUUCGGGUUGUAAACCGCUUUCGCCUGUGACGAAGCGUGAGUGACGGUAAUGGGUAAAGAAGCACCGGCUAACUACGUGCCAGCAGCCGCGGUGAUACGUAGGGUGCGAGCGUUGUCCGGAUUUAUUGGGCGUAAAGGGCUCGUAGGUGGUUGAUCGCGUCGGAAGUGUAAUCUUGGGGCUUAACCCUGAGCGUGCUUUCGAUACGGGUUGACUUGAGGAAGGUAGGGGAGAAUGGAAUUCCUGGUGGAGCGGUGGAAUGCGCAGAUAUCAGGAGGAACACCAGUGGCGAAGGCGGUUCUCUGGGCCUUUCCUGACGCUGAGGAGCGAAAGCGUGGGGAGCGAACAGGCUUAGAUACCCUGGUAGUCCACGCUGUAAACGGUGGGUACUAGGUGUGGGGUCCAUUCCACGGGUUCCGUGCCGUAGCUAACGCUUUAAGUACCCCGCCUGGGGAGUACGGCCGCAAGGCUAAAACUCAAAGGAAUUGACGGGGCCCCGCACAAGCGGCGGAGCAUGCGGAUUAAUUCGAUGCAACGCGUAGAACCUUACCUGGGUUUGACAUGGAUCGGGAGUGCUCAGAGAUGGGUGUGCCUCUUUUGGGGUCGGUUCACAGGUGGUGCAUGCCUGUCGUCAGCUCGUGUCGUGAGAUGUUGGGUUAAGUCCCGCAACGAGCGCAACCCUUGUUCACUGUUGCCAGCACGUUAUGGUGGGGACUCAGUGGAGACCGCCGGGGUCAACUCGGAGGAAGGUGGGGAUGACGUCAAGUCACCAUGCCCCUUAUGUCCAGGGCUUCACGCAUGCUACAAUGGCUGGUACAGAGAGUGGCGAGCCUGUGAGGGUGAGCGAAUCUCGGAAAGCCGGUCUCAGUUCGGAUUGGGGUCUGCAACUCGACCUCAUGAAGUCGGAGUCGCUAGUAAUCGCAGAUCAGCAACGCUGCGGUGAAUACGUUCCCGGGGCU